rnacentral:lncRNA from 1 species
GACCAUGUUAAAUUACACAUCAUAAGCUCAUAUUCUAGAUUCAACACUAGGCUUACAAGCUCACAAACGUGUCAUAUGCUACCACUAGAUCAAUCAAACAUAGAAGCAAUAGUGGUACCAUACAUACAUCAAAAUCUUUUGAUUUUCAUGAAUGAGCCUAUUGUCAUGCAAACAUGUCUAUAUGUUCUAAUCAUGUCCUUAGCAAAGUAUGAAUGCUAUGUCAACCAACUUUACCUUGCUUUGUUGG